rnacentral:lncRNA from 1 species
AUGCAAACUACCCGAUUCUAUUCUGUUCUUAUAUGAAUACUCGGUCAAACAACAAGCCUUCUGCAUGCUCUUGUAGAUCAUAAUCCUCUAUGCUGAAGCAAUCAGAUUUUGCAAUCUUUGAGUUGGUCUCAUCUUUGUCGAGGUCUACAGAACUUUUUAUGUAACUUUUGAUCUCUUGUCGAAGACCAGUGGUUAAUGUUGGUUCUCGAGCUAACGAAAACUGAGUUUUUCUGCCAGAAUCUGCAUUCUUAUCUCCUCCAUCUAUUGCAGAUACUAAAGGACUGACAUUAGCAGGCAAAACAGAAUCCAUGGGACUAUGCAACAACUGACUAUCACCAACUAUUUCCUGUUAAGCACAAGGACAUCAUUAGAGAAAAAU